rnacentral:rRNA from 1 species
AGAGUUUGAUCCUGGCUCAGAUUGAACGCUGGCGGCAGGCCUAACACAUGCAAGUCGAGCGGUAACAGAUCUAGCUUGCUAGAUGCUGACGAGCGGCGGACGGGUGAGUAAUGCAUAGGAAUCUGCCCGAUAGUGGGGGAUAACCUGGGGAAACCCAGGCUAAUACCGCAUACGUCCUACGGGAGAAAGGGGGCUUCGGCUCCCGCUAUUGGAUGAGCCUAUGUCGGAUUAGCUAGUUGGUGAGGUAAUGGCUCACCAAGGCAACGAUCCGUAGCUGGUCUGAGAGGAUGAUCAGCCACAUCGGGACUGAGACACGGCCCGAACUCCUACGGGAGGCAGCAGUGGGGAAUAUUGGACAAUGGGGGCAACCCUGAUCCAGCCAUGCCGCGUGUGUGAAGAAGGCCCUCGGGUUGUAAAGCACUUUCAGCGAGGAAGAACGCCUAUCGGUUAAUACCCGGUAGGAAAGACAUCACUCGCAGAAGAAGCACCGGCUAACUCCGUGCCAGCAGCCGCGGUAAUACGGAGGGUGCAAGCGUUAAUCGGAAUUACUGGGCGUAAAGCGCGCGUAGGUGGCUUGAUAAGCCGGUUGUGAAAGCCCCGGGCUCAACCUGGGAACGGCAUCCGGAACUGUCAGGCUAGAGUGCAGGAGAGGAAGGUAGAAUUCCCGGUGUAGCGGUGAAAUGCGUAGAGAUCGGGAGGAAUACCAGUGGCGAAGGCGGCCUUCUGGACUGACACUGACACUGAGGUGCGAAAGCGUGGGUAGCAAACAGGAUUAGAUACCCUGGUAGUCCACGCCGUAAACGAUGUCGACCAGCCGUUGGGUGCCUAGAGCCACUUUGUGGCGAAGUUAACGCGAUAAAUCGA